UAGGUUUUUAAAAACAUUAAAGGUUUUGCUUAGAAUUCCUAGGUUUAGUUAAUAAUGGUGUUUAUGUUUUCAACUUAUUCCCCAUUGAAAAACCCAACAGCCAGGCGGCUGGGUUUAACUACUGGUAGUCCAACAGACUUUUUUUUUAUUUUAGUUUUUAUUCUAACGUUUAAUCUAUUUUGGUUUAUAUAUUUAAAGUAGCAUCAAAAUAAUAAAUAACCAUGAGUGGU
rnacentral:lncRNA from 1 species